AGUGAACGCUGGCGGUAGGCCUAACACAUGCAAGUCGAACGGCAGCACAGGAGAGCUUGCUCUCUGGGUGGCGAGUGGCGGACGGGUGAGGAAUACAUCGGAAUCUACCCUGUCGUGGGGGAUAACGUAGGGAAACUUACGCUAAUACCGCAUACGACCUACGGGUGAAAGCAGGGGACCUUCGGGCCUUGCGCGAUUGAAUGAGCCGAUGUCGGAUUAGCUAGUUGGCGGGGUAAAGGCCCACCAAGGCGACGAUCCGUAGCUGGUCUGAGAGGAUGGUCAGCCACACUGGAACUAGGACACGGUCCAGACUCCUACGGGGGUCAGCAGUGGGGAAUAUUGGACAAUGGGCGCAAGCCUGAUCCAGCCAUACCGCGUGGGUGAAGAAGGCCUUCGGGUUGUAAAGCCCUUUUGUUGGGAAAGAAAUCCAGCUGGCUAAUACCCGGUUGGGAUGACGGUACCCAAAGAAUAAGCACCGGCUAACUUCGUGCCAGCCGCCGCAGUAA
rnacentral:rRNA from 1 species